rnacentral:rRNA from 1 species
GUUUGAUCAUGGCUCAGGACGAACGCUGGCGGCGUGCCUAAUACAUGCAAGUCGAACGAACUCUGGUAUUGAUUGGUGCUUGCAUCAUGAUUUACAUUUGAGUGAGUGGCGAACUGGUGAGUAACACGUGGGAAACCUGCCCAGAAGCGGGGGAUAACACCUGGAAACAGAUGCUAAUACCGCAUAACAACUUGGACCGCAUGGUCCGAGCUUGAAAGAUGGCUUCGGCUAUCACUUUUGGAUGGUCCCGCGGCGUAUUAGCUAGAUGGUGGGGUAACGGCUCACCAUGGCAAUGAUACGUAGCCGACCUGAGAGGGUAAUCGGCCACAUUGGGACUGAGACACGGCCCAAACUCCUACGGGAGGCAGCAGUAGGGAAUCUUCCACAAUGGACGAAAGUCUGAUGGAGCAACGCCGCGUGAGUGAAGAAGGGUUUCGGCUCGUAAAACUCUGUUGUUAAAGAAGAACAUAUCUGAGAGUAACUGUUCAGGUAUUGACGGUAUUUAACCAGAAAGCCACGGCUAACUACGUGCCAGCAGCCGCGGUAAUACGUAGGUGGCAAGCGUUGUCCGGAUUUAUUGGGCGUAAAGCGAGCGCAGGCGGUUUUUUAAGUCUGAUGUGAAAGCCUUCGGCUCAACCGAAGAAGUGCAUCGGAAACUGGGAAACUUGAGUGCAGAAGAGGACAGUGGAACUCCAUGUGUAGCGGUGAAAUGCGUAGAUAUAUGGAAGAACACCAGUGGCGAAGGCGGCUGUCUGGUCUGUAACUGACGCUGAGGCUCGAAAGUAUGGGUAGCAAACAGGAUUAGAUACCCUGGUAGUCCAUACCGUAAACGAUGAAUGCUAAGUGUUGGAGGGUUUCCGCCCUUCAGUGCUGCAGCUAACGCAUUAAGCAUUCCGCCUGGGGAGUACGGCCGCAAGGCUGAAACUCAAAGGAAUUGACGGGGGCCCGCACAAGCGGUGGAGCAUGUGGUUUAAUUCGAAGCUACGCGAAGAACCUUACCAGGUCUUGACAUACUAUGCAAAUCUAAGAGAUUAGACGUUCCCUUCGGGGACAUGGAUACAGGUGGUGCAUGGUUGUCGUCAGCUCGUGUCGUGAGAUGUUGGGUUAAGUCCCGCAACGAGCGCAACCCUUAUUAUCAGUUGCCAGCAUUAAGUUGGGCACUCUGGUGAGACUGCCGGUGACAAACCGGAGGAAGGUGGGGAUGACGUCAAAUCAUCAUGCCCCUUAUGACCUGGGCUACACACGUGCUACAAUGGAUGGUACAACGAGUUGCGAACUCGCGAGAGUAAGCUAAUCUCUUAAAGCCAUUCUCAGUUCGGAUUGUAGGCUGCAACUCGCCUACAUGAAGUCGGAAUCGCUAGUAAUCGCGGAUCAGCAUGCCGCGGUGAAUACGUUCCCGGGCCUUGUACACACCGCCCGUCACACCAUGAGAGUUUGUAACACCCAAAGUCGGUGGGGUAACCUUUUAGGAACCAGCCGCCU